GCUGGGCAUGGUGGCGCAUGCCUGUAAUCCCAGCUACUAGGGAGGCUGAGGCAGGAGAAUCGCUUGAACCCAGGAGGUGGAGGUGGCGGUGAGCUGAGAUUGCCCCAUUGCAUUCCAGCCUGGGCAACAGAGUGAGACCCUGUCUCCA
ensembl:misc_RNA Metazoa_SRP Metazoan signal recognition particle RNA